UGCUGCAUGGCUGUCGUCAGCUCGUGUCGUGAGAUGUUGGGUUAAGUCCGCAACGAGCGCAACCCUAUUGUUAGUUGCCAUUCAUUCAGUUGGGCACUCUAGCGAGACUGCCGGUAAUAACCGGAGGAAGGUGGGAUGACGUCAAUCAUCAUGCCCCUUAUGACCUGGGCUACACACGUGCUACAAUGGUUGGUACAACGAGUUGCGAGUCGGUGACGGCGAGCUAAUCUCUUAAAGCCAAUCUCAGUUCGGAUUGUAGGCUGCAACUCGCCUACAUGAAGUCGGAAUCGCUAGUAAUCGCGGAUCAGCACGCCGCGGUGAAUACGUUCCCGGGCCUU
rnacentral:rRNA from 1 species